GUACUUCUACGGGAGUGGGACAGAAAUGAUAAAGAGCCACAAAUGAUUUAUUAUGUAGUGGUUCUUAUACAUUAGCCACAGCUAAUGUGUACUUAAAAAUAUGAAUACAUGAGUAAAACUCAUGCAUAAGAAAUACUAAUUUCUAUAGAAAAAGUAUUUCUUUAUCGUCGUCCCACCCCAACUUGCAUUGCCUGUAGAAUUUCUUUUCGAAAUUCUCUGUGUUGGGGCCCCUGACUAGAAUCGAAAAAAGCUUGUUACAAGCGCAUUUUCGUUCAGUCAACUACUGCCAAUAUAACUUCGUAGAGCAUAGAACAUUGAUUUAU
rnacentral:ncRNA from 1 species